rnacentral:lncRNA from 1 species
GCAAGAGAAAUGAUUUAUUUAAUAACACCCAAGAGGAUUUAAAUGUCCGUAAUUAUUUUAAAAUGUCUGAUUUGGGUUAGUAGGAUGUCAGUUCCUUAAAGGUAGGAAUUGAACAUUUUUGCCUUUGAAUAUCCAAAGUCUGGCACAUGUACCCGAUCUAAGAUUUCAUUGGAAAAGUGACUCCCAGUAAGGAAACUCUCUCUAAGGAUAUCCUGUUCCAUAGUUGAUAGCACCAAAGAGAUGCCUGGACCAGAGAGAGGUUAAAUGAAUCAGAAUGGCCUCUAUUAAGCAAUUGCCUAUGCCAAGCAUUGUGCUUAGGAUACAAAGACAAACAAACAGAAAACAGGCCUGUGCUUCAGUGAGCUUCUUCUUCAGGGAAGAUAAUACGUACUUAUAUACAGGACCAGGAAGGACAAGUUCUUCAUUAAACAAAUUUAGUCAACAGAAGAAAAAUCUAAAACUGAAAAUGAAUAUAGAGCCAGCAGCAUCAAUUAGAGAAGAAAUCAAUACAACAUCAUCAACAGAAUCAGAUCCGUGAGAAGGUCUUCAGAUGCCUGGGAUAAGGAGUCCCCUAACUCACCAACAGGUUUGAGACCUGUCAGUUAUCCUCAACCUGGUGCUAAGAUGGUCCACUAGAGUGUGACUGCUGUGCACACUACAGCUCUUGGAGUCACAGAACAAAGCAUCCCUAACACCCAGGUCUGGCCCUCCAUGGCCUAGAGAUCACUUAGAACUUGAUGCUGUUAUCAUCGUCUUCCCUGCUUUGAGACUUAUCCAUCCUUUCUCUCAUCCUUCAGCCUUCUCUCUAUAUCAUCCCAGAGAGGCUAUGUGGUUUGGUAGAAAGAAUGCAGAAACUAGAGGGCAAAUACUGUCCUGGUUUUCUUUAUUGAAAAAAAAAAGGAAGAAGAACAAGAAGGUGGAAUCUGAAAACUCUGAGACAUUUUGCCUUCUAUUCCAAAAAGUAUAUAACAUAUUGCUUCAAUCUC